GAAGACUAAGUCUCUACAGGCUGGCUGCUGGGUGUUUAGGAGUGCUGUGUGUUUGACAAGUAACUCUCAACCACUCCCUGAGACUGGCUUUCUCCCGUUCUAAUGAAGAGAGAAAACAUUUAGAGGCCGGUUACAACACCACUGGUCUGGAGCAAGACAGAGACCAGACAGAUACCAGUAGAGCUAUUGGAGGAGUGGAGGCCCUUAUGGUGGUGGAGUGGAGAACUGUGUGGUGAUACCUUACUGGUCAUCAGGCCAAGGAGAAUGGUGGGACUAUCAGUGUUCAAAUCCACACUACUGGAUCUGUGAAAAAGGCUCUUUGUAGGUACUGCUGUUGAAGGAACUCUUUACUAUAUCUUAGGACCGAUUAUAUGUUUUGGUAGAAUUGCUCUAUGAACGAGAUGUUGGAGAGAAAGACACACACACACACACACACACACACACACACACACACACACACACACACACACA